UAGGGUAUAGCUCAGUGGCAGAGUGCGUACUUAGGAUGCAGGAGAUUCUGGGUUCAAUCCCCAGUACCAUCA
rnacentral:tRNA from 1 species